rnacentral:rRNA from 1 species
GAUGAACGCUGGCGGCGUGCCUAAUACAUGCAAGUCGAGCGAACAGACGAGGAGCUUGCUCCUCUGACGUUAGCGGCGGACGGGUGAGUAACAUGUGGAUAACCUACCUAUAAGACUGGGAUAACUUCGGGAAGCCGGAGCUAAUACCGGAUAAUAUAUUGAACCGCAUGGUUCAAUAGUGAAAGACGGUUUUGCUGUCACUUAUAGAUGGAUCCGCGCCGCAUUAGCUAGUUGGUAAGGUAACGGCUUACCAAGGCAACGAUCAGUAGCCGACCUGAGAGGGUGAUCGGCCACACUGGAACUGAGACACGGUCCAGACUCCUACGGGAGGCAGCAGUAGGGAAUCUUACGCAAUGGGCGAAAGCCUGACGGAGCAACGCCGCGUGAGUGAUGAAGGUCUUCGGAUCGUAAAACUCUGUUAUUAGGGAAGAACAAAUGUGUAAGUACCUAUGCACGUCUUGACGGUACCUAAUCAGAAAGCCACGGCUAACUACGUG